rnacentral:rRNA from 1 species
GGGUUGUGAGGUUAAGCGACUAAGCGUACACGGUGGAUGCCCUGGCAGUCAGAGGCGAUGAAGGACGUGCUAAUCUGCGAUAAGCGUCGGUAAGGUGAUAUGAACCGUUAUAACCGGCGAUUUCCGAAUGGGGAAACCCAGUGUGAUUCGUCACACUAUCAUUAACUGAAUCCAUAGGUUAAUGAGGCGAACCGGGGGAACUGAAACAUCUAAGUACCCCGAGGAAAAGAAAUCAACCGAGAUUCCCCCAGUAGCGGCGAGCGAACGGGGAGCAGCCCAGAGCCUGAAUCAGUGUGUGUGUUAGUGGAAGCGUCUGGAAAGGCGCGCGAUACAGGGUGACAGCCCCGUACACAAAAAUGCACAUAUUGUGAGCUCGAUGAGUAGGGCGGGACACGUGGUAUCCUGUCUGAAUAUGGGGGGACCAUCCUCCAAGGCUAAAUACUCCUGACUGACCGAUAGUGAACCAGUACCGUGAGGGAAAGGCGAAAAGAACCCCGGCGAGGGGAGUGAAAAAGAACCUGAAACCGUGUACGUACAAGCAGUGGGAGCCUCUUUUAUGGGGUGACUGCGUACCUUUUGUAUAAUGGGUCAGCGACUUAUAUUCUGUAGCAAGGUUAACCGAAUAGGGGAGCCGAAGGGAAACCGAGUCUUAACUGGGCGUUAAGUUGCAGGGUAUAGACCCGAAACCCGGUGAUCUAGCCAUGGGCAGGUUGAAGGUUGGGUAACACUAACUGGAGGACCGAACCGACUAAUGUUGAAAAAUUAGCGGAUGACUUGUGGCUGGGGGUGAAAGGCCAAUCAAACCGGGAGAUAGCUGGUUCUCCCCGAAAGCUAUUUAGGUAGCGCCUCGUGAAUUCAUCUCCGGGGGUAGAGCACUGUUUCGGCAAGGGGGUCAUCCCGACUUACCAACCCGAUGCAAACUGCGAAUACCGGAGAAUGUUAUCACGGGAGACACACGGCGGGUGCUAACGUCCGUCGUGAAGAGGGAAACAACCCAGACCGCCAGCUAAGGUCCCAAAGUCAUGGUUAAGUGGGAAACGAUGUGGGAAGGCCCAGACAGCCAGGAUGUUGGCUUAGAAGCAGCCAUCAUUUAAAGAAAGCGUAAUAGCUCACUGGUCGAGUCGGCCUGCGCGGAAGAUGUAACGGGGCUAAACCAUGCACCGAAGCUGCGGCAGCGACACUAUGUGUUGUUGGGUAGGGGAGCGUUCUGUAAGCCUGUGAAGGUGUGCUGUGAGGCAUGCUGGAGGUAUCAGAAGUGCGAAUGCUGACAUAAGUAACGAUAAAGCGGGUGAAAAGCCCGCUCGCCGGAAGACCAAGGGUUCCUGUCCAACGUUAAUCGGGGCAGGGUGAGUCGACCCCUAAGGCGAGGCCGAAAGGCGUAGUCGAUGGGAAACAGGUUAAUAUUCCUGUACUUGGUGUUACUGCGAAGGGGGGACGGAGAAGGCUAUGUUGGCCGGGCGACGGUUGUCCCGGUUUAAGCGUGUAGGCUGGUUUUCCAGGCAAAUCCGGAAAAUCAAGGCUGAGGCGUGAUGACGAGGCACUACGGUGCUGAAGCAACAAAUGCCCUGCUUCCAGGAAAAGCCUCUAAGCAUCAGGUAACAUCAAAUCGUACCCCAAACCGACACAGGUGGUCAGGUAGAGAAUACCAAGGCGCUUGAGAGAACUCGGGUGAAGGAACUAGGCAAAAUGGUGCCGUAACUUCGGGAGAAGGCACGCUGAUAUGUAGGUGAAGUCCCUCGCGGAUGGAGCUGAAAUCAGUCGAAGAUACCAGCUGGCUGCAACUGUUUAUUAAAAACACAGCACUGUGCAAACACGAAAGUGGACGUAUACGGUGUGACGCCUGCCCGGUGCCGGAAGGUUAAUUGAUGGGGUCAGCGCAAGCGAAGCUCUUGAUCGAAGCCCCGGUAAACGGCGGCCGUAACUAUAACGGUCCUAAGGUAGCGAAAUUCCUUGUCGGGUAAGUUCCGACCUGCACGAAUGGCGUAAUGAUGGCCAGGCUGUCUCCACCCGAGACUCAGUGAAAUUGAACUCGCUGUGAAGAUGCAGUGUACCCGCGGCAAGACGGAAAGACCCCGUGAACCUUUACUAUAGCUUGACACUGAACAUUGAGCCUUGAUGUGUAGGAUAGGUGGGAGGCUUUGAAGUGUGGACGCCAGUCUGCAUGGAGCCGACCUUGAAAUACCACCCUUUAAUGUUUGAUGUUCUAACGUUGACCCGUAAUCCGGGUUGCGGACAGUGUCUGGUGGGUAGUUUGACUGGGGCGGUCUCCUCCUAAAGAGUAACGGAGGAGCACGAAGGUUGGCUAAUCCUGGUCGGACAUCAGGAGGUUAGUGCAAUGGCAUAAGCCAGCUUGACUGCGAGCGUGACGGCGCGAGCAGGUGCGAAAGCAGGUCAUAGUGAUCCGGUGGUUCUGAAUGGAAGGGCCAUCGCUCAACGGAUAAAAGGUACUCCGGGGAUAACAGGCUGAUACCGCCCAAGAGUUCAUAUCGACGGCGGUGUUUGGCACCUCGAUGUCGGCUCAUCACAUCCUGGGGCUGAAGUAGGUCCCAAGGGUAUGGCUGUUCGCCAUUUAAAGUGGUACGCGAGCUGGGUUUAGAACGUCGUGAGACAGUUCGGUCCCUAUCUGCCGUGGGCGCUGGAGAACUGAGGGGGGCUGCUCCUAGUACGAGAGGACCGGAGUGGACGCAUCACUGGUGUUCGGGUUGUCAUGCCAAUGGCACUGCCCGGUAGCUAAAUGCGGAAGAGAUAAGUGCUGAAAGCAUCUAAGCACGAAACUUGCCCCGAGAUGAGUUCUCCCUGACUCCUUGAGAGUCCUGAAGGAACGUUGAAGACGACGACGUUGAUAGGCCGGGUGUGUAAGCGCAGCGAUGCGUUGAGCUAACCGGUACUAAUGAACCGUGAGGCUUAACCUUACAACGCCGAAGCUGUU